rnacentral:rRNA from 1 species
GAUGAACGCUGGCGGCGUGCCUAAUACAUGCAAGUCGAACGAAACUUCUUUAUCACCGAGUGCUUGCACUCACCGAUAAAGAGUUGAGUGGCGAACGGGUGAGUAACACGUGGGCAACCUGCCCAAAAGAGGGGGAUAACACUUGGAAACAGGUGCUAAUACCGCAUAACCAUAGUUACCGCAUGGUAACUAUGUAAAAGGUGGCUAUACUACCGCAUUUGGAUGGGCCCGCGGCGCAUUAGCUAGUUGGUAGGGUAAAGGCUUACCAAGGCAAUGAUGCGUAGCCGAAUUGAGAGGUUGAUCGGCCACAUUGGGACUGAGACACGGCCCAAACUCCUACGGGAGGCAGCAGUAGGGAAUCUUCCACAAUGGGCGAAAGCCUGAUGGAGCAACGCCGCGUGGGUGAAGAAGGUCUUCGGAUCGUAAAACCCUGUUGUUAGAGAAGAAAGUGCGUGAGAGUAACUGUUCACGUUUCGACGGUAUCUAACCAGAAAGCCACGGCUAACUACGUG